rnacentral:tRNA from 2 species
GCGCCUUUAGUUCAGUUGGUAGAACACCGCACUUUUAAUGCGGGAGUCCGGAGUUCAAGUCUCCGAAGACGCACCA